CCAAUAGCGUAUAUUAAAGUUGUUGCAGUUAAAAAGCUCGUAGUUGAAUUUCGGGAUCAGUAUGUCGGUCGUGCCUCGGUACGUACUGGCAUUAUUGGUUUCUACCUUCUGAAGAACCAUGAUGUCAUUUAUUUGGUGUCGUGGGGAAUCAGGACUGUUACUUUGAAAAAAUUAGAGUGUUUAAAGCAGGCGCACGCUUGAAUACAUUAGCAUGGAAUAAUGAAAUAGGACGUUUGAUUCUAUUUUGUUGGUUUCUAGGAUCGACGUAAUGAUUAAUAGGGAUAGUUGGGGGCAUUAGUAUUCAAUUGUCAGAGGUGAAAUUCUUGGAUUUAUUGAAGACUAACUACUGCGAAAGCAUUUGCCAAGGAUGUUUUCAUUAAUCAAGAACGAAAGUUAGGGGAUCGAAGACGAUCAGAUACCGUCGUAGUCUUAACCAUAAACUAUGCCGACUAGGGAUCGGAUGAUGUUAAUUUUUUAAUGACUCAUUCGGCGCCUUACG
rnacentral:rRNA from 1 species